GAUGAACGCUGGCGGCGUGCUUAACACAUGCGAGUCGAAUGAUGAAGCUGGAGCUUGCUCUGGUGGAUUAGUGGCGAACGGGUGAGUAACACGUGAGCAACCUGCCCCUGACUCUGGGAUAACAGCCGGAAACGGCUGCUAAUACCGGAUAUGCACCAUGAACGCAUGUUCUGUGGUGGGAAAGAUUUUUCGGUUGGGGAUGGGCUCGCGGCCUAUCAGCUUGUUGGUGAGGUAAUGGCUCACCAAGGCGUCGACGGGUAGCCGGCCUGAGAGGGUGACCGGCCACACUGGGACUGAGACACGGCCCAGACUCCUACGGGAGGCAGCAGUGGGGAAUAUUGCACAAUGGGCGAAAGCCUGAUGCAGCAACGCCGCGUGAGGGAUGACGGCCUUCGGGUUGUAAACCUCUUUUAGCAGGGAAGAAGCGAGAGUGACGGUACCUGCAGAAAAAGCGCCGGCUAACUACGUG
rnacentral:rRNA from 1 species